rnacentral:lncRNA from 1 species
AUGCCACCUCCACCUGCAGUGACACCUCGCCACCAGGGCCACCUCCCUGUUAGGGUGACCGGUACUCACUGCCCGCCCCUCGCUGCCAGGACGCCCUUCCUGCACCAUCUGUCACGGCCCCCGCAUCCCUUGAGCUACCGGGGUGGGUGCAGUGGGAGCAGGACCCGGUCCAGCCCCUGGGACUAUCCUGGGCCCCCCAGGUGGCACGUUUGGGGGCUGGUGGCCUGCACCACCGUGGUGCCUUGGUUUCCCCAGGGCUCCAGUGUCAUGGGGUUGGGGCUGAGCCCAGCCCAGCACCUCCCAAGCCCCACAUUAGCCCCACAUCUCCCCCACCAUGCCUCCCUCUCCUCUGUCUGCCCAUGGGGGCCUCCGUUUCCCCAUUCGGAGAGGGAAGUGGCCCCCCCACCUCCAGCACCCCACGCACCAGCAGUGCCUGUGCGCUUCCAUCCCUGCAUCUCUGCUUGCUGGGCAGGAUUCGGCCCUAAACUGGGGCAUUGCAGCCUGCCAGGGGCUGGCUGCUGUGGGGUGGGGGGCAGCACCCACCGGCACCCCCAUCCCCUUCCUCCCCUACAAUCGGCGGGGCCGCGGGGCGCUCCCGCUGCUGGUCCCCAAGGCUGGAGCUGCUCUCGCUAUGGCAACCGUCUCCAUCGCGCCGGUUGCCGUGGCCACCCGUCCCCAAAAUGGCACACCGGGGGUGCAGGAGGAUGCUGUGGGUGGGGGGGUUGGCUGGCAGAAGGGCCCCCCGGCUGCAGGAUUCCUCCCGGGUCACCAGCUGCCUGCCUGCGGGAUGACUCAGGGGGGAUUAGGGGGAUUUGCCGGAGCGGGAACGCGGCCCGCGGCCAUGUAGGGCCAGCCCUAAGCCCCUGCGCUGAGGCACAGGCACGUGGGGGGCACGGGGAGCGUGGCUCCCCCCUCUGCGUGGCACCAGUCCCUGAGCUGGGGCCGGGGCUGGGCGUGAAGCCCCCCCCCCAUCCACCUGGGGCAUCGCCACGGGGUGAAAGGAGGGGGCAGAGCGGGGCACGGACAGCCCGGCGUGGGUUGGGGAUGGGGGGGCCCCGUUCCCACCUCCUGGGGGGGCUUCCCUGA